GCACCUGGAAUGGUGGGAAGAGAUGUGAUGGAACAACUGCUACUAAGCUCUUCUUGGGGGCUGCAGACCUAGAAUAACCUAGAUUAAAAUCCACAGUUGGCACAUAUCUGAGGUACCUUGGCAUGAAUUUGGUAUUAUCAGCCUUGCUAAGGUAUAGAACAGGUAUCUCAAAAUCCACAUCUUCCUACCCAGAUCCUACCAUCAAUGUAUUUUGGAGGAUGUGUGGAGCAAUACACACCAUCUUGCAAGCAAGCAACAAGCAAAGCAAUCUUGCCACUCUGCAACUUGUGGUCUGUCACUAUGAGGCAGGGGUUCCAUUUGAACCUCCAGAUAAUUGGCAUCGUAGGAGAUUCACCACAGAGCCAUCCUGUUUUUUUAACCCUGUAGCUGUCAAAUCCACUGCUGCAGGAGACUCCUGAAUGGCUUUCUGAGGAACCUGGUCCCAAACUAGAGAGAAGCAAUAAACAAUUCUUGCCUGACUGCUCUUCCCUUGUGCUAGUUUUAGUUGUAGAGGCCCCUCACAUCUCUUUAGCAAGAUAAAGCAUUCCCAUUUAAGUUCCAUCCCUGAGGGCAAACUUUCCCUCUCUUGCAUCCUUCUGUUACUCAUUUUUCUAUUAUUCAUCCUUCUGCUACUGCAUUUUUUGGGAUCAUGACCAGAACUGCACUGCAGACGUUUAAAGAUCAAGACAGAUCUUUCUUUGCUCAGGUUGUGUCCACUGCCUCCCUUUCCUGGGCACCAGAGCAGAGCCUGGCUCCUCCUCUCCACUCUUUCCAUCAAGCAGGUCCCCUGAGCUCUUCUGGGCUGCACAGUCCAACUCACUCAACCUCCCCAUAGAUGACAGAUGCUACUACCCCAUGACUAUUAAAAUUCCUUCAUAUCUUUGAAACUUCUCCAUGCCCUUUGUUUUACUUCAGCUGCUCAUUUUAAUUUCACCUUUUUGAUUUUCCUGUUCCCACUUAUUAAACACUACUAGAGUGGAGAGGACUUUCCUAGAGGAAGGUCUGUAGAUAUAAAGAAUUUAGGUACAUGCCAGUCACUUUAGAUAAGUAAUCUGAAGUAAAUUUUGGCUGCUGCUUACUAAACCUCAGUACAGUUUGUUGGGCACCAUUUUCAACUGCUGGUGGCAUAUAUGGUUCAACCUUUUACAUCACCACAGGAUUUCAUAGCCUCCACAUAAUCAUUAAGAGUUGUGCCUUGCCUUGAGAGACCUUUCUUCACAUUUUUCAAAAGCAGAAACUUAAGGCAAAUACAAGUUUUCUUUAACUCUGUCCCACUGGAAUGCUUCACAGGUUAUACCAGUAACUUCAGUAACAAAAGUCUCCCAACUCUUGUGAUAAACUUUUUGCCCUUGCAGCCUCCUGCACCUCAGAAAGCAUUUCAUAGCCAGUGGUACCUCUGCUCACAGCAAAGCUUGUCCUACUCAGGACUUUUCAUCCAUAAUAAUCCUACAGUGCAUUUCAGUAUCAAAUUCACCUGCCUUUAUGCUUUCUUUAACUCCACUCUUACAAUGGUGUGAUCUAUUCUGCCACUUCCAUACAGGCGAGGUCUUUUCUCUACAACAUCUUUGUUAAAUUCCUGUCAUCAGGUUUUGAUCUGCUGGACAAAUCAGUAUCCUCACUGGAAGCAAGCAUCCCACCUGCAUUUUCAGAAAGGUUCCCACCUUCAUUUUCAGCACUAGCAAAUUGAAUUUUAGCCUCAUUGCUUUCUACAGAAUUUCACUUAGGUUGUUCUUACUCUUGCUGAACCUUCAAGUUAUAUGCUAUUUUUUUCUAAAGCUUUUACAACCUUGUUUUAGAGGACAUGGCACUCAGACCUAUGUAUCACUCUACAUAGGUUGGGUUUUCCCCCAGCUUUACUCCAAAUGCCACUUCUCUUUCCUAGUUCCAAUACCAGCAGGCUGGCUCUGGAUUAGUUUAGAAGAAGCCAUCCAUUUCUUUCCCCAAAGUUUCCUAACUCCAAAUAAACUGAAGUCCCUUCCCUGACAUACUGUAACCCAUGUGCUGAUACUAAGCAUUUCUGUCCAUAUGAGCAUAACUCCCAGUUUCAUGGACAAUGUCAAGGGUCUUGGAUUUUUGGUGUCUCACCACUGGCAUUUAGACUAAAAAGCUACUACUCAGCAACCCUUAAAGAUGAACACCUGGAGGAGUUACCUGUGUCUCAUACACUCCCUCGAUGUCUGGAGCAGAGAGGUCUGCGUUGAUUUCGUUGAUGUGCUCUUGGUACAUGUCUUCAGGAACAGAGUAUUCGUACAAGUUAUAAACUAAGUUUGAGCGGGGCAGGAUCCUGUUUACCUGGCAGGGUAAGGGACAGGAUUAUUGGGACACAUCCCACCACGUGGCAGCACCACCAGGAGCAAAGCUCUGAGCCAGGCCAGCUUCUGGUGCUCUCUCCUAAGGAAAUCAGUAGGUUAUGGUCAUGCAUGUUACAAAUUCCUGAAACAGAGAACUCGAUUUCCAGGCAAACUGGUAUUAGCAGAGGACCAGGGCCUGGAUGAGAGAUAUCCAUGGGGUAGGAGAAUGAGGUGUUGCAUGGCAGAUGCUGGCAACUCCUGCUUACAGGGGAGGUAAAGUGCCUUAUCUCAGUGCAAGCAGCUGUUUCCCCUUCCAGAAGGGGCAGGUGCUCACCUUCCUGUAGGCUGCUCCCUCCUCAGGCUUUGGGACACGCUGGUUGACAUAGAAGACACGGGGGAUGCUCAGCUUGAUGCAGUGCAGGUCACUUCCUAUCACCGCCCACAGCCGGAAGAGCCCAGGCUGCCUAGUCUCAGCAAUCUGUAGGACACAAGGCACAAGGUCAGCAUUAGCAGUGCCUUGUGUCCUACAGAUUAGCAGAUCCAACAUGCCAGCAGUGCUUACAUCUACACUGCAGAGCACUCUGGGGAUCUACAUGGUCAACCGGUGGCUAAAAACAAAGCAGGGAGCUUAGAGAAUCAUCACUUUCAAUGCUGGAGUCUCUGUGUCCUGCUACUGUCCCAGAGUACCAUAAAGAAAACUCUGCCACAGGCUGGCCAACCAGCUCCAGGGAAUGUCAUUCAAAUCAUUCUGAAGUCCUGGACCUGCAGCUCUGAGACCUUUCUGGAGGAUGAAGUGGGUGAUAGGAGCUGGGUUUAGGUGACUACACGUAAAAAAAAUUUGUAAAAACACCUUUGGAUGUUUGGAUCAAACUUGGAUGACACCACCCCACCUCUUUAUUUGUACACUGUCUGCUUCUAGGCCCCACUGGAAUCCUGUGUCCAGUGCUGGGCUCCUCAACUGACAUACUGAAUGGACAUACUGAAUUGAAUGAAGGGCCACAAGGAGGAAGAAAGGAUUGAAGCAUCUUUCAUAUUAGGAAAGGCUGGUAGAACUGGGACUGUUCAUCCCAGAGCAGAUAAAGCUCAUAGGGAUCUCCUCCACAGGUAUAUACUCCAAGGGAAGUGUAGAGAGCACAGAACCUGACUCUUCCCAGUGAUGCCCUGCUGGAAUCCAAAAUAAAAGCCUCUCUGAGCUCCUCAGAGAGAGAAAAGAAUUAAAAUAUAUAGAACCAUAGAUAUAAAGUAAAAGUGUAAGUUUUAGUUUUAAGUAGGUAAAAAUAUAGCUUAAGUGCCCUAAGAGACUGUGUUAGCUAGUGAAAAACCUUAUUACCCAGUUUGAAGGUCAGUGAUAAUACCAUUCACAGAUUCAACUUAGCCCUAGACAUAAUGAAGGCAUUGUUUGCAUUCUUGGAUAAGAAUAGACAGGAUUAGUCACAUGGACAGAUGGUGCCCUAUAGGUGGGAUUCAGGUGGCAGGAGCAUUGCUUUCUCAUGUUGGAGUUGAGUUUGGAUUGGUGUAGAAAGUAUUGUUUUAGAAGCAUGUUUUUAGCUGAUUGGAUGAUUUAUGAAUUUAAUCCCCUCUAUUGGGGACCAGAAAAAUACACCCAAAGAACAGCAGCACCACCAUCAUCACCAACUGCUUUUGCAGCGCAGGACAACAGAACUCCAUGCUGAGAAGCUGCUACCCAAAACAUCAGGACCUUAUACCAGACAGCUGCUGCUCAAAACUCAGGACUUUAUGCCAAAGCUUUAGUAAGGACUGUAACUUUCUAAACUCUUUGCCUUUGAGACUGAUGCUUUUAUACAAUAAAUACCUUUCUAGCAACCAUCAA